GAGUGCCUACGGGACGCAGCAGUGGGGAAUAUUGCACAAUGGGGGAAACCCUGAUGCAGCAACGCCGCGUGAGUGAAGAAGGUUUUCGGAUUGUAAAGCUCUGUUAGCAGGGAAGAGGAAGGACGGUACCUGCAGAGGAAGCCACGGCUAACUACGUGCCAGCAGCCGCGGUAAUACGUAGGGGGCAAGCGUUAUCCGGAUUUACUGGGUGUAAAGGGAGCGUAGACGGCAUUGCAAGUCUGAUGUGAAAGAUUGGGGCUCAACCCCAGGCCUGCAUUGGAAACUGUAAAGCUGGAGUACAGGAG
rnacentral:rRNA from 1 species